UCAAGAAACUUCCACAAUGGGCGAAAGCCUGAUGGAGCGACGUCGCGUGAUGGACGAAGUGCUUCGGCACGUAAACAUCUUUUAUGUGGGAUGAAAUUAUUGACAGUACCACAUGAAUAAGGGGCUCCUAACUCUGUGCCAGCAGGAGCGGUAAUACAGAGGCCCCAAGCGUUAUCCGGAAUCACUGGGCGUAAAGGGUGUCGAGGCGGUUGUAUUAGUCGUUCGUAAAAUCUACGAGCUUAACUUGUAGGCGGCGAACGAAACGGUACGACUUGAGGUUUGGAGAGGUGCGUGGAACUCACGGUGUAGGGGUGAAAUCCGUUGAUAUCGUGGGGAACACCAAAGGCGAAGGCAGCGCACUGGCCAAAAUCUGACGCUCACACACGAAAGCUAGGGUAGCGAAGAGGAUUAGAUACCCG
rnacentral:rRNA from 1 species